rnacentral:rRNA from 1 species
AUUGAACGCUGGCGGCAGGCCUAACACAUGCAAGUCGAACGAGUAGCGGACGGGUGAGUAAUGUAUGGGAAACUGCCUGACGGAGGGGGAUAACUACUGGAAACGGUAGAUAAUACCGCAUAACAUCAGUUGUGCCCAGAUGGGAUUAUCUAGUGGGUGGGGGAACGGCUCACCAAGGCGACGAUACCUAGCUGGUCUGCGAGGAUGACCAGCCACACUGGAACUGAGACACGGUCCAGACUCCUACGGGAGGCAGCAGUAGGGAAUAUUCCGCAAUGGGCGCAAGCCUGAUGGAGCCAUGCCGCGUGAAUGAAGAAGGCCUUCGGAUUGUAAAAUUCUUUCAUCGGGGAGGCGUUACCUGCAGAGGAAGCACCGGCUAACUCCGUGCCAGCAGCCGCGGUAAUUC